AACGAACGCUGGCGGCAGGCCUAACACAUGCAAGUCGAGCGCACCUUCGGGUGAGCGGCGGACGGGUUAGUAACGCGUGGGAACGUGCCCUUCUCUACGGAAUAGCCUCUGGAAACGGAGAGUAAUACCGUAUACGCCCUUUGGGGGAAAGAUUUAUCGGAGAAGGAUCGGCCCGCGUUAGAUUAGGUAGUUGGUGGGGUAACGGCCUACCAAGCCUACGAUCUAUAGCUGGUUUUAGAGGAUGAUCAGCAACACUGGGACUGAGACACGGCCCAGACUCCUACGGGAGGCAGCAGUGGGGAAUCUUAGACAAUGGGGGCAACCCUGAUCUAGCCAUGCCGCGUGAGUGAUGAAGGCCUUAGGGUCGUAAAGCUCUUUCGCCUGUGAUGAUAAUGACAGUAGCAGGUAAAGAAACCCCGGCUAACUCCGUGCCAGCG
rnacentral:rRNA from 1 species